UACGGAGGGUGCAAGCGUUAUCCGGAUUUACUGGGUUUAAAGGGUGUGUAGGCGGACUUUUAAGUCAGCGGUGAAAUCUCCGGGCUCAACCCGGAAACUGCCAUUGAUACUAUUGGUCUUGAAUGUUGUUGAGGUGGGCGGAACGGGUCAUGUAGCGGUGAAAAUGCAUAGAUAUGACCCGGAACACCGAUUGCGAAGGCAGCCCACUAAGCAAUGAUUGACGCUGAGGCACGAAAGCGUG
rnacentral:rRNA from 1 species